ACAAAGGCUCUUUUAAGAGCCACCCACAUCCUAAACUAAGAGCCC
rnacentral:ncRNA from 1 species